GAUGAAGAACGUAGCGAAAUGCGAUAAGUAAUGUGAAUUGCAGAAUUCAGUGAAUCAUCGAAUCUUUGAACGCACAUUGCGCACCUUGGUAUUCCGAGGGGCAUGCCUGUUCGAGCGUCAUUAUAACCCCUCAAGCUCAGCUUGGUGUUGGGGCCUGCUGCACUGGCAGCCCUUAAAAUCAGUGGCGGCGCCAUCUGGCUCUAAGCGUAGUAAUUCUUCUCGCUAUGGAGUCCUGGUGGAUGCUUGCCAUCAACCCCCAAUUUUUCUAUGGUUGACCUCGGAUCAGGUAGGGAUACCCGCUGAACUUAAGCAUAUCAAUAAGCGGAGGA
rnacentral:misc_RNA from 1 species